rnacentral:rRNA from 1 species
GACCGGGCUCAGUAAGUCGUAACAAGGUGCCGUAAUAAAGUUUGAUCUGGCUCAGUAAGUCGUAACAAGGUGCACGCUAUAUAAAUUGGGAUAACUCCGGGAAACCGGGGCUAAUACCGAAUAAUCUGUUUCACCUCAUGGUGAAACACUGAAAGACGGUUUCGGCUGUCGCUAUAGGAUGGGCCCGCGGCGCAUUAGCUAGUUGGUGAGGUAACGGCUCACCAAGGCGACGAUGCGUAGCCGACCUGAGAGGGUGAUCGGCCACACUGGGACUGAGACACGGCCCAGACUCCUACGGGAGGCAGCAGUAGGGAAUCUUCCACAAUGGGCGAAAGCCUGAUGGAGCAACGCCGCGUGAGUGAAGAAGGAUUUCGGUUCGUAAAACUCUGUUGUAAGGGAAGAACAAGUACAGUAGUAACUGGCUGUACCUUGACGGUACCUUAUUAGAAAGCCACGGCUAACUACGUGCCAGCAGCCGCGGUAAUACGUAGGUGGCAAGCGUUGUCCGGAAUUAUUGGGCGUAAAGCGCGCGCAGGUGGUUUCUUAAGUCUGAUGUGAAAGCCCACGGCUCAACCGUGGAGGGUCAUUGGAAACUGGGAGACUUGAGUGCAGAAGAGGAUAGUGGAAUUCCAAGUGUAGCGGUGAAAUGCGUAGAGAUUUGGAGGAACACCAGUGGCGAAGGCGACUAUCUGGUCUGUAACUGACACUGAGGCGCGAAAGCGUGGGGAGCAAACAGGAUUAGAUACCCUGGUAGUCCACGCCGUAAACGAUGAGUGCUAAGUGUUAGGGGGUUUCCGCCCCUUAGUGCUGCAGCUAACGCAUUAAGCACUCCGCCUGGGGAGUACGGUCGCAAGACUGAAACUCAAAGGAAUUGACGGGGGCCCGCACAAGCGGUGAGCAUGUGGUUUAAUUCGAAGCAACGCGAAGAACCUUACCAGGUCUUGACAUCCCGUUGACCACUGUAAA